CACGUAGGGUGCGAGCGUUGUCCGGAAUUAUUGGGCGUAAAGAGCUCGUAGGCGGUGUGUCGCGUCGGCCGUGAAAACCUGCAGCUUAACUGCGGGCUUGCGGUCGAUACGGGCAUCACUGGAGUUCGGCAGGGGAGACUGGAAUUCCUGGUGUAGCGGUGAAAUGCGCAGAUAUCAGGAGGAACACCGGUGGCGAAGGCGGUUCUCUGGGCCUAUACUGACGCUGAGGAGCGAAAGCGUGGGGAGCGAACAGG
rnacentral:rRNA from 1 species